rnacentral:rRNA from 1 species
UACGGAGGGUGCAAGCGUUAUCCGGAUUCACUGGGUUUAAAGGGAGCGUAGGCGGGCAUGUAAGUCAGUGGUGAAAUCUCCGGGCUUAACUCGGAAACUGCCAUCGAUACUAUAUGUCUUGAAUUAUCUGGAGGUUAGCGGAAUAUGUCAUGUAGCGGUGAAAUGCUUAGAUAUGACAUAGAACACCCAUUGCGAAGGCAGCUAACUACGGGUAUAUUGACGCUGAGGCUCGAAAGCGUGGGGAUCAAACAGG